rnacentral:rRNA from 1 species
UUGUUAAAAGUGGAAAUAUUGUUUUAGUACGAAAGGACCUAACAUGUUAAACCUCUAGUUAAUUUUGUAGCUACGUUUAUAAGAAUAAAAAAAGUUAUUUUUGAAUUCUUUCCAUUUUUAACCUGUUAUAUAGGUAUGAAAACAUAUACUA